rnacentral:rRNA from 1 species
GACGAACCGUGCGAACGUUGUUCGGAAUCACUGGGCUUAAAGGGCGCGUAGGCGGGCUCGCCAGUCAGGGGUGAAAGCCCACGGCUCAACCGUGGAAGUGCCUUUGAUACUGCGAGUCUCGAGGGAGGUAGGGGCGUGCGGAACUUCCGGUGGAGCGGUGAAAUGCGUAGAUAUCGGAAGGAACACCGGUGGCGAAAGCGGCGCGCUGGACCUCUUCUGACGCUGAGGCGCGAAAGCCAGGGGAGCGAACGGG